rnacentral:rRNA from 1 species
GGUGGUUUUUUAAGUCUGAUGUGAAAGCCCACGGCCCAUUCGUGGAGGGUCAUUGGAAACUGGAAAACUUGAGUGUUCCAGAAUAGGAAAGUGGAAUUCCAUGUGUAGCGGUGAAAUGCGCAGAGAUAUGGAGGAACACCAGUGGCGAAGGCGACUUUCUGGUCUGUAACUGACGCUGAUGUGCGAAAGCGUGGGGAUCAAACAGGAUUAGAUACCCUGGUA